UUAUGUUAGGGCUAGCACAUGCAAUUCUCUUUAUCCUGUAACUUAAUCGAUGAAAGGGGAAGGGAAAGAAAAUGAGUUGGCUGUUGGCGAUGGGGUAUGGUGGGAUUCAGUCGUCUAGGUUCAAAUGGUUAUUCGAUACGACAACUAAUAAGAUCCACACAACAACGAUGUGAAGGAGAAGAAGAGAAACGAAAAUCGGUGUGAAGGAGAAGAAGAGAAAUGAAAAUCAUCUCUGCCAACAGGAUACAGAGACGUUUGUAAUGAUAACUGAUUGAUCGAGGUAAAAGGAGAGAAACGGGGCAUCGUCACCGUUGGAAAUCGUUUCCGACAACGGCAUAUAGUGCGACACUCAUGGUGAUAAAUGACUAAGGGUAAUGUUUUGCAGAGUAGUUGGGGGAGCAGUUGUUGGAAUCCAAGAAAGAUAUGAUCAACAUGUGUUUUUUUUUUUGUUUAAUUUGUUUUUUUUUUAAUUUUUUAUGUAUUAUUUUUUUAUAUGUAUGAACUAGACUUUAUUGUUAUACUAAAUCAUAUGAUUUUGAUUUAUAUGAGAAGACAAAAUUUGGAGUUAACAACA